UUUACCACUAAGAACAAUACAAAACACCUGCUGAUGUUUCUUCCCCUCACCCCCUUUGUAAACAGCAGAAUGCUUUGCCGUCUGUUUUCUGGAUUAGAGCCAUUUCUCUGAAUGACAUAUCAUAACAUGUCCUCAGGGUACAGAACUGGAAGACAGAUGUAGAGUGAGAAUUUUGUAUGUGUAGAUCUUGACAUUGCAACAGAUGUGAUUUUAGUAAAGAACACUUCAUCUUCAAGAGAAUGUGACUGCAGAGAUGGGGUAGCUUUUGUGGUUCCUGUCUUCAGCUUUGGUAUCGAGAAUGGACAACAGUUAAAAGUAGAUGGUGAACUGCACAAACAUGAAGAUGUUCCAAACACACUUCUUGUCCAGAAAGCAAUAUUGUGUUGGAGCCUGCAACCCAUGUAAAUUUUUUCCAGGGUUCGUUUUCUACACACUUUGAUUUCCUUUCAUCCCAACACGAGGUAGGAGCUUCAGUGGAGAACGCAGCAUAUGGAAUUUCAUGUCUGUUUGCUUUUCAAGGAGUGAACAGAAUUUCUCCAACUUAAAACUAUAAGCUGAUUCCUUGUAAUUUGAAUGACUCAAGUUCCAAACUAAUGGUGGCAGUGAUGUUCAGAUUAACAGCAAUUAGCAGAAUGGACUUUUCAGCUC